GGGCUUGCCGACGGGUCGGCGCUUUGACUUGCACUCAAGGCUUCAGGGUUCAACUCCCUGCAGGUCCAC
rnacentral:tRNA from 1 species